CUCCUGAACAGAACAGGGAGGUUCUUAUCUGUUAGCCUAUGUAUUUAUCCUGGAAAAUAUGUUUGUUCUUUAAAUCCAACCAAAAACCUAACAUGUAGCCUAUUUAUUAGUAGAAUUAGAAUAAUAGCCUAGUAGGCUAGUAAUAUUUGUAAUAGACAUGGGCAAUAGAUGUGGACUAAUGUAUUAGCGUCGACUUUUGAAUGUUUAAAAUGGUUUAUUAGGCUUUAAGUAUUAUAUAAAAAUAAUGAAAAAGAUUUUUUUUGUGUUUUUUUUGUUUUUUAUAAACAUGUCAGAUCUGAAGUGAGCCAAUGCAGCUGAAUUGCAUUAUUGUGGAAACAUCAUAGGCUGUUGAAGAGACAAUGAAUCCUUUUGGCCACAAGAUGUCACCAUUGUUCAAUUCUUAAAAGAUUUCUUGAGCGCAUUUAUUUGAUUGCAUUCACACGCUUUUAUUCGGUGAAAGAGAGAUUACCGAACUAGUCGCCAGCUGCUUUAAACGAUACAUACGUUCAUAUGCUACUGCCCAAAUGCCUAGACAUACUCUUCGAUUAGGCUAUCUUUAUUAUUGAAUUUCAGUUGUAUUUGUUUUGAUUGCAUUUUAAGAUAUACUUCUAGUUGCUUGAUCAUAAAUUGCUGUUGUCCUGUAGUACUCAAAAUAACAUUUUCAGUGCAUAAACUAGGCCAAUUUCACAUAGAUUCUUAUCAGAUGUGAGGACAGUUUUGUAUGUAUUUUAUACCUUUGAUACUUAGUUUAAAUAUAUUAUAGUCGCAGCCAAUAUAAAACAUAAAAUGUUAAAUCUAAAAUGUGUUUUUGUAAGUCUGUAAUGAUCAAAAAGAAAGUCACAACAAAGAGAUUAUUUCAAAGUUUAAUCAACAGGUUUUCAUCAGACAUUCUAUCUCAUUUAUGACAGAAGAUAUUCUCAUUUGAAUUACACUUUCAGAAAUCUUUCAAAAAUACAUUGUAGCUAUAUAAACAAACGAAAGAAAGGGAAUCAGUCAAAGGCGCACUUUUACACUGAAAGAAUUCGCAGUUUACAUUUCCUAACAAAUUAAUCUUCAUUUGAAGUUUUCGAUUAAUAAUUGCGUUUUUCCAGCCACAUUUAAAAUUAGCAAAUGAACAGGUGUGGGUAGUUGAGGGGGGGAAAAGGGGGGAAAAUGUUUUUUUUUUUUUUCUUUCGUAAAACGUAGCCUAUUUCGAUAAUCCCAUCACAAAUCAAAUUCGAUUAAACAAGUCUAUUUGAACGCUGUUAAACUCACAACGAAAUAAAAAAUAAAUAAAUAAUCAAAAGCUUGAGCAUAACAGAUCCCAUCAUUGCAGUAAGCUAAUUCUGACUCCAGACAUAAAUGAAGAGAAAUUUUGCUUCAAGAUUCAAAGGUGACUCUCUGCUGAAAAUAAACGAAAACAUCCAAUAGCAGAGUUAGACGGCCUUUGGUUAUUUUUAAUCAGCCAUAUGUUGCGGAUGGUUUUGGGGGUAAUAGCUCAUCGAAAAUUACCAGAUGAAUAUUUUUAGAUCAAAUAUAGGCCUAUAUAUAUAUAUAUAUAUAUAUAUAUAUAUAUAUUGAAUGUACAUAAAUACAAUACAAAAUUCGGAACAUCUCGAAGAUAUUUUAUUCGUGUAUACUUAAUAGACAGUGGGGCAUAAAUGCGUUUUUUGAGUAUCAUCAGGUGAAGUAACUUUAGAGUUGUUUUAUGAAGAUGAAAUCGUUAAACAGUGCCCAUUAAUAAGCCACAUUAUAGUGUUAUAUGUUUGAAAACUGUUAUCACAAUGUAAAAAAAAAAAAAAAAAAAAAAGCUCAUAAAUGGAUCAUCUUGAGAACGCAUUUAUAAUCUGUCGAGAGUAACCCGCUUAUUUGGCCAUCAGUGGCUGCGACAGUUUUUGUUUUUUGUUUUUUUUUUUUGGGGGGGGGGGGGGAAUGAGAUUUAGAAAAGUCUCUUUGUUUACCAACACAUUUUGUGGCUUUAUUAAGGGCUCUGGCUUAAAUAAAGAAGGGGUAAAAAUUAACGAGGAGGACUUUCCCACAUAUUUUCCAGAGUUGCAGGUGUCCGACAACUGCGCAGUGGGCUAUGGAUAUCAUUUAGAACAAGAGCUAUUAGUCAUCACUGAUGAUUGAGGCCGACAAAUAUAUAACCGACUCUAAGAAAGAAAUCUAUCAUGAGGCUAUUUGGUUAAAUGGUGUGAAAACUGUGCGCACUAGAUUUUAUUUCCCCAAAAUAGAAAAUUGUGAAACGUGUCUACGAAAAGAAAUGAACGCAAAACAGCUAUAUAAUUAAAAGAGAGAGAGAGAGAUAUAUAUUAUUUAUUUAUUUACCUCAAUAUUUGCUUACAAUUUGAAAUCGUUGUAUCAAAAUCAGUUUGCUUUAGAGAGAGAGAAUUGGUCUAUUUAUAGAUGGAAGCUUUUAGAUAGAAAAAAAAAACCUAAUGCAUAAUCAAAUAUAAUUAUAAUGAUAAAUUACUUUUAAUUUGUGGAUGGUAGCCUAUUAUCACAUGGAAUUAUCGCUCUUGUCUCUCUUAAGCCGUUACAUUUGUUUCUGCACCAGUUCCCGUUAGAGCAUUGCACCACUAGAUGUCGCCACGUGUUACGGAAAUGCAACACGACGACUCAAAUAUUUCUUUCUUCGAAUGAAUUUCUAGAGAAUCAAUGGCUGAGGCAAUAUUUGGAAACGGCUUGAAAUAUAGUUUAGAAUAUAGUUUAAUAUAGAAAUUAAGGUUAAGAGAAAUUGGGAUAUAGCCUUAUCAAUAACCGCGAGGUUACUCUGUCCUAUACGCGGAAAAUAAAAAUGUAGCCUAACAGUAAAAAAAGGGGAAGUUUUGGGAAACCUAAAGUUUUUUUUGUUGUUGUUGUUGUUGUUGUUGUUGUUUUUUUCAGUUUAUAAAAUAUUUGUAAAUACCCACCGUCGUUCUUAAUUCAUAAUUUUGCUAAUCGCAAGCUAUGCACUGCAUUAUUCGCAGAGCUAAACAAUGGAAAGAAAACAUGAAUGUCUUUGUAUUGAGUUACCUGGAAAUCAGCCUCUCCCUCUCCCACACGUUUAAUUGACUUAAACAACCUCUAUUCAUAUAGUUUAUGUUAUAUAGCUGUAUCAGUAGCGGUGAUUAUCAAUAAUUGUAAAAAGAACAACAUAAGAGAGAGAGAAACGACGGGAGGAUGAGAAAUAAGCCACAAGGCGCAGCAGAUCACACAUGUGCUACACAACUUCGGACCGUACGAAGUCGCCAAGAUGAGGACAUACAGAGUCCAAGGUUGAAGAAAAAUGUGACCAUUACUUACCCACUGGAAGUGAGCAGGAGGGAACUGGCAUCAAUGUUAUGAAAUGUUAAACCAGCAUGAGUGGUGCUUCUGAGGACGUGCUUUGCUCUUUGCUGUGAGGAAGAAAGGUUGCGAGAGCUCUCCAGCACAUGCCAUCCUCAUUAGUGUCCAGCACCUGAAGACACGGGGUCACAAACCGAAUGAACUGCCCAUUUCAUUCAGCUUUGCAGACAUGGAAGGAUGACCACUGUGACCUAAUGUUGCAGUACAGUCUGACAGCACAUUAUAAGAAACAUACAAAGUAGCUUGAAGAACCUUUGAACCUUGUGUGGAGUGCAUUAUUUUUAUGAUGAAAUUGCUAUAGGCUCCAACUUUUCAACAUGCUUGUAGAUUUUAUCCGUUCAAUAAAUUGUGCAUUUUUAUAAAAAAAAAAAAAA